ensembl:lncRNA
GGACUUCAGAAAAAAACGACAAACUUAUAUUAAUAAUCCUGUUUGCUUCAGCUCAUUUCCUUUGAGGUCAGAAGUUACUAAGUAAUCCAAGGAACUGGAUUAGACAGCCUUUAAAGGUUUAAAGGUUCCCAAAAUUUCUGUAAUCAGGUCAGCUUCAGGCUGUUUUCGGUCAGAAAAAAACACAAACAAAACCCAGAGACUACAAAACAGGAAUGACUUGUGACUCCUGUCGAGACAUUUGUCUGAGGAGGGCAGGAGCAUGAAUUUCGAAAUAGAGAUAGUGAAAGAUGUAACAUCUUAUUUUAUUUUAUUUUAUUUUAUUUUAUUUUAUUUUAUUUUAAUACUCUCCAUUUCCACUCUAGAUCCUAAGCCUAAAAGAAGCUACCGGAAUAACAAAAGAGUGAGAGAUUUCCUGUCAUUGCUCACAGCCUCUGCACCUUGAUGGCCUCUCCUGAGUACCAGCAGUGACUCCACAUAUCCAGCCUUAUGAUGAGUGCUCUGCAGAGUGGUACGUAAAGGUGAAACGAGUGACACAAGAUGAAAAAGGACAAAUGCCCAUUCUCUAGAAAGGACUAACAAGGGGACUGUCUAUGUAUGCGGGAUGCUGCAAAUUCAAGAGCACAGUCACAUCUCACCUUCAGCCUUGCAAGCUCAGCUGUAGCAAUGUUAGCAUGCUGACAGGGUGUGUAGGAGUGGGGGGUAUCAGCUAACAGAGAAAACCUACAUCCAUGCAAUCCUUUGCAGCACUGGAAUGGAAAUAACUGAGAACAGCUUGCUUUGUUGAAGGCAUCACUGCUGUACACCUUCAUUGCUGUAACCAGUCUGAAAGGAAUAACUACGGUCUUUACUAAUGCUGUCUCUGCCACUACUGUUUGUUUUUUUAUCUGUUGUUGUUUUUUAUUAAAUAACUCCACCUUCUUUCUUCUUCCAGUGCUUGAUGCAGCUUCUAAACACAGGCAGAGACUGAACCCAUAGAAAAACAUCACGCAGAGAACACAGUUGUCCCAUUAAUUCAAUCAGUGUAGUAAGGACGUGUUUUGGAAAUUUAAAAUCCCACGUUCAUAUUUCUCUGCUCUAGAAAAGAAUCUCCAAAGAUUGCACCCAAAUCACUGGCAUCAUUACUUUCAAUUCAUCACUGAAAUUCAGACAAGUUGUUUGUAUCUGCAUUAAUGUCACCAAACAGUAAAGUUAAAUGAAUACUUCAAUUCUGUAUCUGCUCCAGUCUGUGGUUCACUGAUGAGAAGUGUACAGUCUCAAACUGUACCUGUCUUCUGGAGCAUUAUAUUCUUUUUCCAACUGUGCUAACUUGUUUAAGCCUAACUUGUUUAAACCUGCUGUGUUGACCAGGAGAAACCAUAGCUUGGGGUUCAGGUGGGGAUGAUGACGUCCUUCUCGUUCAUGCUGAUCUGUUUCUGGAAGAAAAAAGUUGUGCUCUACUUAAGCUUAAAACGAGAAGCGCUGAAGUGUUGAAAAAUACUUCUUUGCUUCUUACUUCAUAGAAGUGUAGUGUAGUAAUGACACAAUUUUGUCAAUCAAUAUAUUUUUCAUAAAUACUGUAAUUUUAUGGAAAAAUAAUUUUUAGGAAAAAUAUCAAGAGGCAAAACACAAGUAGUUUUUUUUUUAAAUAAAAACACGAGAUGUGAUUUAGUUCAAACAAAAUCUGAAUUUCUUUUCUAAUGUGAAAUGAAACACUUUGGGAAAUGGUUAUUAUUAAUACUUUUAAAACCUCUUAAAAACACUGGCCAGACAGUCUCAUAUUCUCAGUAUUUGAAUACUGCCAUCAGGGCAGAAGGGUGGGCCCGCAUUAAAUGGAGCAUUAUUGACAAAGGUUAUUAUUUCGAAAUAUGAAUAUAAAUCCCAUUUGAAGAACUGGUGACCUAAGGUAGAUUCAAAUUAAGCAAUACAGGACAUAUUAGUUAUAUACAAAAUGCACUAAUCUGAGGAAAAAAAUAAUAGACUUAAAAUUGGCAAUUCUUGUCAACAAAAUACAAGUCUUAUACUAAAACAAAAAUAUGAUUCUAACAUUAGUCACCACAGAUAAUGAAUAUUCAUUUACUUACUUUUACUUGGGUGAUCCAUUCAAAAGUAACAUCACUUGCAUUGGCUCAGGAGAGGAUUAAUAUUCAUGCAGUCAUUUGGUUUCAAAAUUCUGUUAUAGGUCCGUAAGCCUUCAAUAUUCUUUUGGCUUAUUUUGGGAAUAUGUACUAUUGUUUGUGGCAUAUAGAGCAAAGGAAUCUGAAUAUGAUGAGCUUUACCUCUAGAGUUAAAGUUCAGGAGUUAGGAGUUUUAGUAGAGAACACUAAUGCUGUAAUACUUUCUAAAACUGCAAAUGCAAUUUUUAAUUCUUGGAUGGACUUUCCGUGCUAUGUUAAAGCAAUUUACCCCCACGCACCAUGCUCUUUAUUGUCACUUGAUGCAUCCUUAUUACUUCUCCAGGUAUUAAAGGGGUACGAUAUGUUUUCAUUUCAUUAAUCUUCUCUCAGGGGGCAGUGAUGAGUUCAUCCAACUCUCUGCUCUCAAGACUGAAAAUUCUUUUCAAUUAAAAAAUCAUCUCCACAGAUGGUACUGGCAUUAGCAGCAGCCCAUUCUGUCUACAACAACAAAUAUUGAGAUAUUUCAGGAA